AUUGAACGCUGGCGGCAGGCCUAACACAUGCAAGUCGAGCGGGGUUUUCGGACCUAGCGGCGGACGGGUGAGUAAUGCGUAGGAAGCUACCCGAUAGAGGGGGAUACCAGUUGAAAACGACUGUUAAUACCGCAUAAUGUCUACGGACCAAAGUGUGGGACCUUCGGGCCACAUGCUAUCGGAUGCGCCUACGUGGGAUUAGCUAGGUGGUGAGGUAAUGGCUCACCAAGGCGACGAUCCCUAGCUGGUUUGAGAGGAUGAUCAGCCACACUGGAACUGAGACACGGUCCAGACUCCUACGGGAGGCAGCAGUGGGGAAUAUUGGACAAUGGGCGCAAGCCUGAUCCAGCCAUGCCGCGUGUGAAGAAGGCCUUCGGGUUGUAAAGCACUUUCAGUAGGGAGGAAGCGUUGUGUGUUAAUAGUACACAGCGUUGACGUUACCUACAGAAGAAGCACCGGCUAACUCUGUGCCAGCCGCCGCCGUAAGAC
rnacentral:rRNA from 1 species